AAGUCGUAACAAGGUUUCCGUAGGUGAACCUGCGGAAGGAUCAUUAACACGUAUCCAACGUUAAACCCCCCGUGAACCUUCAGUGCGCUCGCACUUUCUUAGAAAAGGUAGCAAUCCCUGGUAAAUCAUUGCCGAACAGUUUUGAUUCAGGGACUUCUGCGUAGACUGUGCUUGAGCGUGAGGCAAGUGGCCUGGCAUUCCUCUGCUUGUUGCUCUGUACGAAUGGCGCAGUCACGAUCGCUAGAGGCCGACACGGCCGGCGACCGGGUCACUGGGCGCGAGCCCCCCUCGUCACCUUUGCAUGAAAACGGGCCUGCGCUUAAUUGUGCGGCCACCAAACUCGAACAACUGUUAACAAUGGAUAUCUUGGUUCUC
rnacentral:misc_RNA from 1 species